CCCGUGUGGAUAGACUUGUUUUAACAUUGAUAAAAAUCGCCAUGAACUUUUAUUAUAACAUACAUGAAUUUUAAAAUGUCGGGAGGUGUCGUUGCGGAUUGCAAACAUUAUCUUUAGUGAUAUUCAUAUAUGUAAAUAAUGUACAUAAUGGUGGAAGGAUGAUCCAAAAAAUUCAUGGAUAAAUUAUGGUGAUGGGACCCACAGACACAGCACCAAUGUAAAUAAUGAGCACCGCCACCCAAAGCACCCGUUCAACACACAGAAACUGUGUGGUUCUCCUUUGAAGGGGGUAAAGAUACAGAGGUAAGGUAAGG
rnacentral:lncRNA from 1 species